AUUGAACGCUGGCGGCAGGCUUAACACAUGCAAGUCGAGCGGGGUGAUGGUGCUUGCACUAUCACUUAGCGGCGGACGGGUGAGUAAUGCUUAGGAAUCUGCCUAUUAGUGGGGGACAACAUCUCGAAAGGGAUGCUAAUACCGCAUACGUCCUACGGGAGAAAGCAGGGGAUCACUUGUGACCUUGCGCUAAUAGAUGAGCCUAAGUCGGAUUAGCUAGUUGGUGGGGUAAAGGCCUACCAAGGCGACGAUCUGUAGCGGGUCUGAGAGGAUGAUCCGCCACACUGGGACGGAGACCCGGCCCAGACUCCUACGGGAGGCAGCAGUGGGGAAUAUUGGACAAUGGGGGGAACCCUGAUCCAGCCAUGCCGCGUGUGUGGAGAAGGCCUUAUGGUUGUAAAGCACUUUAAGCGAGGAGGAGGCUCUUUUGGUUAAUACCCAAGAUGAGUGGACGUUACUCGCAGAAUAAGCACCGGCUAACUCUGUGCCAGCCGCCGCCGUAA
rnacentral:rRNA from 1 species